GUACACGCUGUGACUAGCAUAUCAAUAAGCGGAGGAAAAGAAACUAACAAGGAUUCCCUUAGUAACGGCGAGUGAAGCGGGAAGAGCUCAAAUUUGAAAUCUUGAAAGGUCACCUUUCACGAAUUGUAGUUUAAAGAAGUGUUUUCUGUUACGAUCGUAAUAUAAGUUCUUUGGAAUAGGACAUCACAGAGGGUGAGAAUCCCGUCUAUGAUUGCGAUUUGUAGCUUUGUGAUACACUUUCAAAGAGUCGGGUUGUUUGGGAAUGCAGUCCCAAAACUGGGAGGUAAAUUUCAUUCUAAAGGCUAAAUAUUGGCGAGAGACCGAUAGCGAACAAGUACCGUGAGGGAAAGAUGAAAAGAACUUUGAAAAGAGAGUUAAAUAGUACGUGAAAUUGUCAAAAGGGAAGCGUUUAACACCAGUGUUGUUUUCUGAAAAUCAACCUCUGUUAGCUUUAUGCAUGUUUGUUUAGACCUAAUCAGCUAUCUUUCAUGUUCUAUUGUUUGCAGUGGUGCACUUUUCAGUUUACAGGUCAACAUCAGUUUUUUUUACCGUAAAAAAGUUAAAGAAAGGUAGCUCAUGGCUCCGGUCGUGAGUGUUAUAGUCUUUUUCCUAUGCGGUAGGAGAGACUGAGGUCUGCAGUGUAGGCUAUUUGGCUAGAUACUCAGGUGCUAUGUGAUACCAUUUCAUAAACAACUUGUUGAUUAUGUUUUGUCUAUUGCAUACUCGCUUGUACUAUCAUACCUACGCUUAGGAUGUUGAGUAGCGACAUACGCAC
rnacentral:rRNA from 1 species